rnacentral:rRNA from 1 species
GGGUUGUGAGGUUAAGCGACUAAGCGUACACGGUGGAUGCCCUGGCAGUCAGAGGCGAUGAAGGACGUGCUAAUCUGCGAAAAGCGUCGGUAAGGUGAUAUGAACCGUUAUAACCGGCGAUGUCCGAAUGGGGAAACCCAGUGUGAUUCGUCACACUAUCGUUAACUGAAUACAUAGGUUAACGAGGCGAACCGGGGGAACUGAAACAUCUAAGUACCCCGAGGAAAAGAAAUCAACCGAGAUUCCCCCAGUAGCGGCGAGCGAACGGGGAGCAGCCCAGAGUCUGAAUCAGCUUGUGUGUUAGUGGAACGGUCUGGAAAGUCCGACGGUACAGGGUGAUAGUCCCGUACACCAAAAUGCACAGGCUGUGAACUCGAAGAGUAGGGCGGGACACGUGGUAUCCUGUCUGAAUAUGGGGGGACCAUCCUCCAAGGCUAAAUACUCCUGACUGACCGAUAGUGAACCAGUACCGUGAGGGAAAGGCGAAAAGAACCCCGGCGAGGGGAGUGAAAAAGAACCUGAAACCGUGUACGUACAAGCAGUGGGAGCACCUUCGGGUGUGACUGCGUACCUUUUGUAUAAUGGGUCAGCGACUUAUAUUCUGUAGCAAGGUUAACCGUAUAGGGGAGCCGCAGGGAAACCGAGUCUUAACUGGGCGUUAAGUUGCAGGGUAUAGACCCGAAACCCGGUGAUCUAGCCAUGGGCAGGUUGAAGGUUGGGUAACACUAACUGGAGGACCGAACCGACUAAUGUUGAAAAAUUAGCGGAUGACUUGUGGCUGGGGGUGAAAGGCCAAUCAAACCGGGAGAUAGCUGGUUCUCCCCGAAAGCUAUUUAGGUAGCGCCUCGUGAAUUCAUCUUCGGGGGUAGAGCACUGUUUCGGCUAGGGGGUCAUCCCGACUUACCAACCCGAUGCAAACUACGAAUACCGAAGAAUGUUAUCACGGGAGACACACGGCGGGUGCUAACGUCCGUCGUGAAGAGGGAAACAACCCAGACCGCCAGCUAAGGUCCCAAAGUCAUGGUUAAGUGGGAAACGAUGUGGGAAGGCACAGACAGCCAGGAUGUUGGCUUAGAAGCAGCCAUCAUUUAAAGAAAGCGUAAUAGCUCACUGGUCGAGUCGGCCUGCGCGGAAGAUGUAACGGGGCUAAACCAUGCACCGAAGCUGCGGCAGCGACACUAUGUGUUGUUGGGUAGGGGAGCGUUCUGUAAGCCUGCGAAGGUGACCUGUGAGGGUUGCUGGAGGUAUCAGAAGUGCGAAUGCUGACAUAAGUAACGAUAAAGCGGGUGAAAAGCCCGCUCGCCGGAAGACCAAGGGUUCCUGUCCAACGUUAAUCGGGGCAGGGUGAGUCGACCCCUAAGGCGAGGCCGAAAGGCGUAGUCGAUGGGAAACAGGUUAAUAUUCCUGUACUUGGUGUUACUGCGAAGGGGGGACGGAGAAGGCUAUGUUAGCCGGGCGACGGUUGUCCCGGUUUAAGCAUGUAGGCUGGUUGUCCAGGCAAAUCCGGAUAAUCAAGGCUGAGGUGUGAUGACGAGGCACUACGGUGCUGAAGUAACAAAUGCCCUGCUUCCAGGAAAAGCCUCUAAGCAUCAGGUAACAUUAAAUCGUACCCCAAACCGACACAGGUGGUCAGGUAGAGAAUACCAAGGCGCUUGAGAGAACUCGGGUGAAGGAACUAGGCAAAAUGGUGCCGUAACUUCGGGAGAAGGCACGCUGGUGUGUAGGUGAAGUCCCUGCGGAUGGAGCUGAGACCAGUCGAAGAUACCAGCUGGCUGCAACUGUUUAUUAAAAACACAGCACUGUGCAAACACGAAAGUGGACGUAUACGGUGUGACGCCUGCCCGGUGCCGGAAGGUUAAUUGAUGGGGUUAUCCGUAAGGAGAAGCUCUUGAUCGAAGCCCCGGUAAACGGCGGCCGUAACUAUAACGGUCCUAAGGUAGCGAAAUUCCUUGUCGGGUAAGUUCCGACCUGCACGAAUGGCGUAAUGAUGGCCAGGCUGUCUCCACCCGAGACUCAGUGAAAUUGAACUCGCUGUGAAGAUGCAGUGUACCCGCGGCAAGACGGAAAGACCCCGUGAACCUUUACUAUAGCUUGACACUGAACAUUGAGCCUUGAUGUGUAGGAUAGGUGGGAGGCUUUGAAGCGUGGACGCCAGUCUGCGUGGAGCCAACCUUGAAAUACCACCCUUUAAUGUUUGAUGUUCUAACGUUGGCCCCUGACCGGGGUUGCGGACAGUGUCUGGUGGGUAGUUUGACUGGGGCGGUCUCCUCCCAAAGCGUAACGGAGGAGCACGAAGGUUAGCUAAUCCUGGUCGGACAUCAGGAGGUUAGUGCAAUGGCAUAAGCUAGCUUGACUGCGAGCGUGACGGCGCGAGCAGGUGCGAAAGCAGGUCAUAGUGAUCCGGUGGUUCUGAAUGGAAGGGCCAUCGCUCAACGGAUAAAAGGUACUCCGGGGAUAACAGGCUGAUACCGCCCAAGAGUUCAUAUCGACGGCGGUGUUUGGCACCUCGAUGUCGGCUCAUCACAUCCUGGGGCUGAAGUAGGUCCCAAGGGUAUGGCUGUUCGCCAUUUAAAGUGGUACGCGAGCUGGGUUUAGAACGUCGUGAGACAGUUCGGUCCCUAUCUGCCGUGGGCGCUGGAGAAUUGAGGGGGGCUGCUCCUAGUACGAGAGGACCGGAGUGGACGCAUCACUGGUGUUCGGGUUGUCAUGCCAAUGGCACUGCCCGGUAGCUAAAUGCGGAAGAGAUAAGUGCUGAAAGCAUCUAAGCACGAAACUUGCCCCGAGAUGAGUUCUCCCUGAGACUUUAAGUCUCCUGAAGGAACGUUGAAGACGACGACGUUGAUAGGCCGGGUGUGUAAGCGCAGCGAUGCGUUGAGCUAACCGGUACUAAUGAACCGUGAGGCUUAACCUUACAACGCCGAAG